GUACUCUUUUGGACCAGUGCUACGCCUCGGUGAAUCCACAGCCCUUAAACUCUACCAUCUAUAAUCUGUUUUUUCUCGUGCUCCGUAGAUAAGCUCACCACCAUGCUGGAGAAUGGAAAUAGCCAAAAGGCCCGCUUCUACUUCCCGGUGUUCCGCUUCAUUGAGCAGCAGAAUCUGACCAUCUCCACUUACUAUCUGCACUGCAUCACCCGCACCUGCAGCACCUUCAAGGUUUGACCCACAGCAAUGCAACAGGAAGAGGAGGAGGAGUGUGGGGACCACGGUUCUCCAAGCGGGCAUCACUGAUCCAUCUGUGCUCACAGUGGCUAUAAGGGCCAAGGCAGAAAACUGCACGUCCCUAUUGUGUCUUUCUUUUUGUGCAAACGAGUCAGAUCAAAGAUAUGCACACUGUAAUGAUAGCACCCAGUAGAUUUAAUCAAGUCAAAUCCAUUUUUAUAUAGCCCAAUAUCACAAAUUUACAUGCAUAAUUAAAGGAACAGCUUGACAUUUUGGGAAAUAUGCUUAUUCACUUUAUUUUUGAGAGUUAGAUAAGAAGGUUGAUACCACUCACAUGGCUGUAAGCUAAUUAUGAAGCUACAGCCAGUAGCAAAUUGCAAAGGCAACAGAACCCAACUACCUAAACUCCAACUAUAAAGCUCACUAAUGUCCUCAUACCUAAACGACUAAAUAGGUCACUUGUCAAGUGUCCCAAAAUGAUAUAUAACACCGUUUUCCAAAACAACAGUUUUUUUCUUCUUCACACUUGAGUUUUUUUAGAGUUUCAAAAAUUUCUUUGGGUGUAUUAUUAUUAUUGUCAUUCAUUUAUUUAUUAUUCUGUUAUUUAAUCAUUUUGUUUUGUUUUACAUAUAUUCAAAAGUAAUACUUAAAUAUAAAAAAAAUAAAUAACAUUGACUGUUCUCCUAAACAACAUGUACGAGCGUUGACAAGUACCAGUCGAGUGGCAGGUGUAUCGGACUUUUUAUUAAUCGCCCAUGGGAGAAAUGUAGGUCAACAUAGCAGCUCAAAGGGAUAUAAAAGAACAGGUGCAGUUUUGUAGAACUAUCAACACACUAUUUACACUAUAAGGUACCUUACAGAAGUCACGUGAUGUAAGUCACAUAAUAUUUAACACGUGGUAAAUGUAAAAAAAUGUCAACUUUCAGACGGGACUUAAACCAGUUUAUAUGACACAUCCAUCGCCCCCACUACCAUCUUUAUAAGGGCUUUGCUGAUCUUUAGACCACGUCACAGGACUUCUUCAGCCACAAGAGGUUGCGGCCUAACAACAAACUUUAAAUAUGUGUUGUAAAAAGUCUCAACCUGUACAGCCAUUUUUCUGGUGAGGACGAGCUGUUAAAACAUUACAUUUAGUAUAAAAUUAAUUCCUUGCCUGGCGCCUGAUUUCCUGGAGUUUGGUUGUUACCCUGGGGUAGCCAGGCAGUUACUGAUCCCAGAAAAUAUACAUUCAUAUUAUACAACAAUAUGUUGCAUGUAGCACUAACCUUCAUUAAAAUGUAAUCACAUAUGUAAAAUCACAUAAAUCAUCUGUGUUUUUUGAUCCAGAGCCUGUAAAGGUCUUUGUUUUCAGCAAACGUGUAAUGUUUCUCUUUUUACUCUGUGUAUCUCUGUAGUUGUCUAUUUUCAAAUAUUAUGGCAAAUACAAUAUUUUGGAUAUAAACGCCCUCAUAAUGAAAUACUGACACUUUCUUUCUUGCAGCCAUUCUCUCCAAAGAAGAGAGUAAAUGUGUUAU